UACAGAGGUCUCAAGCGUUGUUCGGAUUCAUUGGGCGUAAAGGGUGCGUAGGUGGCGCUGUAAGUCGGGUGUGAAAUUUCGGAGCUUAACUCCGAAACUGCAUUCGAUACUGCGGUGCUUGAGGACUGGAGAGGAGACUGGAAUUCAUGGUGUAGCAGUGAAAUGCGUAGAGAUCAUGAGGAAGACCAGUGGCGAAGGCGGCUCACUGGCCCGAUACUGACGCUGAGGCACGAAAGCGUGGGGAGCAAACAGG
rnacentral:rRNA from 1 species